rnacentral:rRNA from 1 species
CCUACGGUGGCUGCAGUGGGGAAUAUUGGACAAUGGGCGAAAGCCUGAUCCAGCCAUGCCGCGUGUGUGAAGAAGGCCUUCGGGUUGUAAAGCACUUUCAGUGGGGAAGAAAGCCUUGGGGCUAAUACCCUCGAGGAAGGACAUCACCCACAGAAGAAGCACCGGCUAACUCCGUGCCAGCAGCCGCGGUAAUACGGAGGGUGCGAGCGUUAAUCGGAAUUACUGGGCGUAAAGCGCGCGUAGGCGGUCUGAUAAGCCGGUUGUGAAAGCCCCGGGCUCAACCUGGGAACGGCAUCCGGAACUGUCAGGCUAGAGGGCAGGAGAGGAAGGUAGAAUUCCCGGUGUAGCGGUGAAAUGCGUAGAGAUCGGGAGGAAUACCAGUGGCGAAGGCGGCCUUCUGGACUGACACUGACGCUGAGGUGCGAAAGCGUGGGUAGCAAACAGGAUUAGAUACCCUUGUAGUC